rnacentral:rRNA from 1 species
UACGGAGGGUGCAAGCGUUAAUCGGAAUUACUGGGCGUAAAGGGUACGUAGGUGGUUUGUUAAGUUAUCUGUGAAAUCCCUGGGCUCAACCUGGGCAGGUCAGAUAAGACUGAUGAACUCGAGUAUAGGAGAGGGUAGUGGAAUUUCCGGUGUAGCGGUGAAAUGCGUAGAGAUCGGAAGGAACACCAGUGGCGAAGGCGGUCUGCUGGGCCAAGACUGACGCUGAGGCGCGACAGCGUGGGGAGCAAACAGG